GGCUUCUUGACCCACAGCUGUAACUUCUCAUGACAUGGGACGGAGGAAAGCAGCCUCUGCUGAACCUGUGCUGUUUUGAGAGCUCGUACAACUCCGGACACUCCUUUCGCAUCUGUGCUCAUCAGCCUCUAGGCUUCCUUUCGGCUUUGACCCAGCUGCGUCAUUCAUCACAGCACUACUCGUACUUGUCCUUUGUUCUUCCCCAGUAGCUUGGAGCCUUUCCAUAUUUAUACAACUGCUAUGCAACUCCCAUUCAUUGUAGAAGAUUGCAGAGUAUACUCUAGAAUGUGCAUGGAACAGUGGCCAGGAGCAUUAGGCCUUCCAGAUAUGGGGUCUGCAACAAAAUGUUGCAAUGUGGAGUGUUCCUCUUCAGGAGUCCUAUCUGGUUUUCCUUUUUUCUCCCAGCAGUCAACAUUCUGCGGAAACAAA